UGCAGUCGAGCGAACGGAUAAGGAGCUUGCUCCUUUGAAGUUAGCGGCGGACGGGUGAGUAACACGUGGGUAACCUACCUAUAAGACUGGGAUAACUUCGGGAAACCGGAGCUAAUACCGGAUAACAUUUAGAACCGCAUGGUUCUAAAGUGAAAGAUGGUUUUGCUAUCACUUAUAGAUGGACCCGCGCCGUAUUAGCUAGUUGGUAAGGUAACGGCUUACCAAGGCGACGAUACGUAGCCGACCUGAGAGGGUGAUCGGCCACACUGGAACUGAGACACGGUCCAGACUCCUACGGGAGGCAGCAGUAGGGAAUCUUCCGCAAUGGGCGAAAGCCUGACGGAGCAACGCCGCGUGAGUGAUGAAGGGUUUCGGCUCGUAAAACUCUGUUAUUAGGGAAGAACAAAUGUGUAAGUAACUGUGCACAUCUUGACGGUACCUAAUCAGAAAGCCACGGCUAACUACGUGCCAGCAGCCGCGGUAAUACGUAGGUGGCAAGCGUUAUCCGGAAUUAUUGGGCGUAAAGCGCGCGUAGGCGGUUUCUUAAGUCUGAUGUGAAAGCCCACGGCUCAACCGUGGAGGGUCAUUGGAAACUGGGAAACUUGAGUGCAGAAGAGGAAAGUGGAAUUCCAUGUGUAGCGGUGAAAUGCGCAGAGAUAUGGAGGAACACCAGUGGCGAAGGCGACUUUCUGGUCUGUAACUGACGCUGAUGUGCGAAAGCGUGGGGAUCAAACAGGAUUAGAUACCCUGGUAGUCCACGCCGUACACGAUGAGUGCUAAGUGUUA
rnacentral:rRNA from 1 species